AUAAUGGGUCAGCGACUUAUAUUCUGUAGCAAGGUUAACCGAAUAGGGGAGCCGAAGGGAAACCGAGUCUUAACUGGGCGUUAAGUUGCAGGGUAUAGACCCGAAACCCGGUGAUCUAGCCAUGGGCAGGUUGAAGGUUGGGUAACACUAACUGGAGGACCGAACCGACUAAUGUUGAAAAAUUAGCGGAUGACUUGUGGCUGGGGGUGAAAGGCCAAUCAAACCGGGAGAUAGCUGGUUCUCCCCGAAAGCUAUUUAGGUAGCGCCUCGUGAAUUCAUCUCCGGGGGUAGAGCACUGUUUCGGCAAGGGGGUCAUCCCGACUUACCAACCCGAUGCAAACUGCGAAUACCGGAGAAUGUUAUCACGGGAGACACACGGCGGGUGCUAACGUCCGUCGUGAAGAGGGAAACAACCCAGACCGCCAGCUAAGGUCCCAAAGUCAUGGUUAAGUGGGAAACGAUGUGGGAAGGCCCAGACAGCCAGGAUGUUGGCUUAGAAGCAGCCAUCAUUUAAAGAAAGCGUAAUAGCUCACUGGUCGAGUCGGCCUGCGCGGAAGAUGUAACGGGGCUAAACCAUGCACCGAAGCUGCGGCAGCGACGCUGAUGCGUUGUUGGGUAGGGGAGCGUUCUGUAAGCCUGCGAAGGUGUGCUGUGAGGCAUGCUGGAGGUAUCAGAAGUGCGAAUGCUGACAUAAGUAACGAUAAAGCGGGUGAAAAGCCCGCUCGCCGGAAGACCAAGGGUUCCUGUCCAACGUUAAUCGGGGCAGGGUGAGUCGACCCCUAAGGCGAGGCCGAAAGGCGUAGUCGAUGGGAAACAGGUUAAUAUUCCUGUACUUGGUGUUACUGCGAAGGGGGGACGGAGAAGGCUAUGUUGGCCGGGCGACGGUUGUCCCGGUUUAAGCGUGUAGGCUGGUUUUCCAGGCAAAUCCGGAAAAUCAAGGCUGAGGCGUGAUGACGAGGCACUGCGGUGCUGAAGCAACAAAUGCCCUGCUUCCAGGAAAAGCCUCUAAGCAUCAGGUAACAUCAAAUCGUACCCCAAACCGACACAGGUGGUCAGGUAGAGAAUACCAAGGCGCUUGAGAGAACUCGGGUGAAGGAACUAGGCAAAAUGGUGCCGUAACUUCGGGAGAAGGCACGCUGAUAUGUAGGUGAAGUCCCUCGCGGAUGGAGCUGAAAUCAGUCGAAGAUACCAGCUGGCUGCAACUGUUUAUUAAAAACACAGCACUGUGCAAACACGAAAGUGGACGUAUACGGUGUGACGCCUGCCCGGUGCCGGAAGGUUAAUUGAUGGGGUUAGCGCAAGCGAAGCUCUUGAUCGAAGCCCCGGUAAACGGCGGCCGUAACUAUAACGGUCCUAAGGUAGCGAAAUUCCUUGUCGGGUAAGUUCCGACCUGCACGAAUGGCGUAAUGAUGGCCAGGCUGUCUCCACCCGAGACUCAGUGAAAUUGAACUCGCUGUGAAGAUGCAGUGUACCCGCGGCAAGACGGAAAGACCCCGUGAACCUUUACUAUAGCUUGACACUGAACAUUGAGCCUUGAUGUGUAGGAUAGGUGGGAGGCUUUGAAGUGUGGACGCCAGUCUGCAUGGAGCCGACCUUGAAAUACCACCCUUUAAUGUUUGAUGUUCUAACGUUGACCCGUAAUCCGGGUUGCGGACAGUGUCUGGUGGGUAGUUUGACUGGGGCGGUCUCCUCCUAAAGAGUAACGGAGGAGCACGAAGGUUGGCUAAUCCUGGUCGGACAUCAGGAGGUUAGUGCAAUGGCAUAAGCCAGCUUGACUGCGAGCGUGACGGCGCGAGCAGGUGCGAAAGCAGGUCAUAGUGAUCCGGUGGUUCUGAAUGGAAGGGCCAUCGCUCAACGGAUAAAAGGUACUCCGGGGAUAACAGGCUGAUACCGCCCAAGAGUUCAUAUCGACGGCGGUGUUUGGCACCUCGAUGUCGGCUCAUCACAUCCUGGGGCUGAAGUAGGUCCCAAGGGUAUGGCUGUUCGCCAUUUAAAGUGGUACGCGAGCUGGGUUUAGAACGUCGUGA
rnacentral:rRNA from 1 species